rnacentral:rRNA from 1 species
UACGGAGGAUGCAAGCGUUAUCCGGAAUUAUUGGGCGUAAAGGGUACGCAGGUGGUUAAUCAAGUCUGUUGUCAAAGCGUGGAGCUUAACUCCAGAAGGGCAAUGGAAACUGAUUGACUAGAGUGCAGUAGGGGUUGCGGGAAUUCCCAGUGUAGCGGUGAAAUGCGUAGAUAUUGGGAAGAACACCAGCGGCGAAGGCGCGCGACUGGGCUGUGACUGACGCUGAGGGACGAAAGCUAGGGGAGCGAAAGGG